UGGGGAAUAUUGGACAAUGGGCGCAAGCCUGAUCCAGCCAUGCCGCGUGAGUGAUGAAGGCCCUAGGGUUGUAAAGCUCUUUCACCGGUGAAGAUAAUGACGGUAACCGGAGAAGAAGCCCCGGCUAACUUCGUGCCAGCAGCCGCGGUAAUACGAAGGGGGCUAGCGUUGUUCGGAUUUACUGGGCGUAAAGCGCACGUAGGCGGACUUUUAAGUCAGGGGUGAAAUCCCGGGGCUCAACCCCGGAACUGCCUUUGAUACUGGUAGUCUUGAGUAUGGUAGAGGUGAGUGGAAUUCCGAGUGUAGAGGUGAAAUUCGUAGAUAUUCGGAGGAACACCAGUGGCGAAGGCGGCUCACUGGACCAUUACUGACGCUGAGGUGCGAAAGCGUGGGGAGCAAACAGG
rnacentral:rRNA from 1 species